rnacentral:misc_RNA from 1 species
CACGCACAUGACCUUACGUACCCCCAAUUGCAAAUGCAUCUACAGAGAAAGGAGCACAAUUGGCCUUAUUGGGAAUUUCCAGUAGACAAAAGUUGGUAAGUAAAUGCCACAUGGUGCCAUUUUUUUUUACCACUAUUUACCUGUAAGUUAUUUUUUCGGUGGCUUCGUUUGAGGGGAAAGUAUUUCGUAUUUCGUAAUAAUAUUCAUAUAGAGAGAAAAUAAUAACAGUCUGUUAAAGGAGCCACAGAGUGCGGAAAUACAUCAAAGUAAACAAAUAUGAAGCUGGCAACUUUUCUACUCCGUUAAAAGUCGAGGCGAGACUACGGUCAGUUGUGUUUCGUAUUCGACCUUAUAAUCUGUGCGCCAUUUUUCUCCCUCGCAAGCUGUUAGCAUGUCGGCCAAAAUUUUGACUUGUUUGGUGCUUUUCUGUGUCAUAUCCACCGUGAUUUGCGAGGUCCAGCAGUUUCCUAUCGACGAGACGGACUAUGUGAUCGCCCAGCUCCCCGAGGUCUUGGAUUGCGUCGGCCUUUGCGAGAAGAAGAACUUCAGAGGAGAAUGUGAGGUUGACACCACAUGCCUUUUCACGAGUGGCGCUCUGGCGCGCUGACGGAAAGGCUCGACUGGAGAUGUUUACAAUUGCUUUUCUUGCAAUUCUAUGUGUUGUUUUGUAGAUCAAUUUGCAUAAGCCUUUGUUUCGAUGUUGCAUUGUAUAAGUAACUUUGAAUAAAGAUGUAGCACAGA